rnacentral:pre_miRNA from 1 species
AUUAUACUCCCUCCGUCCGAAAAUACUUGUCAUCAAAAUGGACAAAAAGGGAUGUAUCUAAAACUAAAAUAUAUCUAGAUACAUCCCUUUUAUCCAUUUUGAUAACAAGUAUUUCCGGACGAAGGGAGUAUAUA